AGAAGAUCUAGGAGAGUGUUAAAUAUGAGUAGCACAGGGAUUGGAGGUCGGUGUGAGGCUAGGGAAUAGCCACAUAGGGUCUGUGGCAAGGGGAAGGCAGAACUUUCAGAGAUGGCAACAGCUACAGCAAUCAGAGGAUCUCACUGUAUAGACCUGGUGUGGAACUCUUAUUAGACUUCGCUGGCCUGGAACUUCCACAGAUCCAUCUGGCUCUGCCUCUCUGAGUGUAAGGAUUAAAUUAUGCAACACCACACACCUGUUAUCUUUGAGUUUUUAAUCCUCCUCUAAGCCUCUGGAGGGCUGGGAUUAUAGCAGUAGUGUUUUUAUGUGAAUAAGCAAUUUCUCCUGUAUAGGAAAACCAUUAUUUUUCUUAUUCUGAUAUCGCUUGCUUUUGAAGCAAUGUGGGUUGAGUCUUUCUAAGUGAGAACUGUCUGCAGUAUAGCAGAAAAGGGUAGAUAAUCACUUGAUGGCUCAUAGAAGCCUCUUUUCUCUGAACACCAUUCAACGCCACCUGUCCCAUAUUCACUAAGAGGACACAGAAAUGUCAAAGCAACUAAGGGCUGAAGAGUUGACGUUACCACAGAAUGGGGCCAAGCAGCCAAAGCAGCCAGUUCGCGUGCAGCCCCAGUACAGGUGGCAGAAGGGCUGCAGGCACACUGCACCUGAGGAUAGAGGACAGUUGGUCAACUGAAACCUAGAACUGAGGCUGCUCUCAUACCUUGAGGACACUUAGCACCAGACUCAAGAGCUCGACUCUUUGAAAACAGUAUUUCUGAGGUGUCUUCAUGGAACUAGAGAGCAGAGACAACAUGCCAAAGUGACAUCCGAAAUAAAAGGUGACAGAAUUAUGAUAAUUCAGUGAUCUUAAAGACAGCUUGGUCUGUGACCCUAGCCCCAAAAAGCCCUAGUUCAUCGUCUCCUAGAUCUGAGUAUGUGAUACACUUGAAGGAACCGCACAUUCAUGUCUGCAAAGAACUUUUCUACAGACCAUAAAUAUUGCUUUUACAUUGUCAUUGUGCUUGCCUUUGUAGAAAAGGUUUUUAAUAUUUAAUAUUCUCAGGGGUUGAUGAUUUAGCUCAGUGGUAGAGCGCUUGCCUAGCAAGCGCAAGGCCCUGGGUUCAGUCCCCAGCUCCGAAAAAAAAAAGAAAAGAAAAAAAAAUAUUUAAUAUUCUCUACAAUGCAAUUUCAUUGAGUAUGUUACUGAACGAACCCUAGCUGAAAUUUUUUAAAGAUUUAUUUAUUUAUGUAUAUGAAUAUACUGUAUAUUUAUGUAUAUACUGUAGCUAUCUUCAGACACACCAGAAGAGGGCAUCGGAUCCCAUUACAGAUGGUUGUGAGCCACCAUGUGGUUGCUGGGAUUUGAACUCAGGACCUCUGGAAGAGCAGUCAGUGCCCUUAACUGCUGAACCAUCUCUCCAGCCCCAGCUAGCUGAAAUUCUUACAGGACUGAGUAAGUAAAUCUUUUAAAGGGAGUAAUCAUUUUGUAAAUACCUGUAUCUAUAAAAGCAAUAUCUACUAAACUAGCAAAGACUGCCCUCUUUGCAAAAUUUUGAGAACAUAACCUCAGCUGCCACUUGCUGUUCUGUAUUUCUCGGAUAUAAAGUGAAGUAUUUUCAGGACUCUUCCAGGGAUUCUUCUCGACAUGCCUAGAAGUCACACUGGUAGGCCUGGGACUUGUGAACUACCUAUUCCCACAUGCAGACCCCUUCUGAGAAACUGUUUCUUCUUCUGUGCUGAAUUAAAUCCAGGCUAGGAGAACACUCUCCCCAGAAGCAGUCUCUGAGCACAGAACGCACUACAUCACUGAAGUGGAGAGCUUACGCUGUAUCAGACAUUGUGCCCUUCACAUCCAGAAGAGUGGCUCAGGUACGGUAGGAACUUGUUGAUGUGGCCACAUGAGUUUAUGUCUUUCUUCAUUUAACAGCAAGAAUAUUCAAGGAACUCUCAAGUUGAUAAGUAUUUUAAAAAGGAAACAGAUAUAAACAAGCAUUUCAAGCAAAGGUAAAUUCAAGCAGCCAUUGUAUAAAUGAAUAGCUCCAUGAGUGCUUCUGAGUCAGUUUUGAAAUGCGCAAAUGAAACCCAGGAGCUUGUACAUCCCAACAACUCUUCUACCACUCAGCUAUGUCUCUAUCCAAAGACCUCUUUUAAUGGUAAGAAAUAUAAAUUAAAAACCAGAUAUUUCACCUAUUAGAUUUAUAAAUAACAUAUUAUAUAACGGCUAUAGUACUGAUAAGAGAAUGGAUAUAGAUUCAGAACCCAGAAGGAGAACCAUACACAUAUGGAAAUGUGGUCUCUACAGGGCAGUGUUAUUAACUGGUAGGGAACAUGCUCAAGUGGGAUCAAAUGAUUAUGAUUAUAUACAGAUGGAAAAAAAACAUCUUUCAUAGCUUACAUAAAGUCGAUUUCAUUUGAAAAUCAAGCCAUGAGGGCUGGAGAGAUGGCUCAGUGGUUAAGAGCACUGACUGCUCUUCCAGAGGUCCUGAGUUCAAAUCCCAGCAACCACAUGGUGGCUCACAACCAUCUGUAAUGAGAUCUGAAGCUACAGUGUACUUAUAUAAUAAAUAAAUAAAUAGAUAAAUAAAUCCUUAAAAAAAACUAUAAAAAAAAAAAAAAAAGAAAACCAAGCCAUGGAGGAUACACAAGAAUGUCCUCCUGGGCAGGCGGCACCCCAGGAAGACUGACAUACUCACACUGUUGAGGGGCGAUGCGGGAAUCCUGCUCAUGCUCAGCUCUCCGGUCCGGCAUAGGCUGGAAGCAGCAGGUGCAUAUGGCAUGGCUUCCCUGAAGAGGGCAUGUAUAACCCGGGGCUGCUGAAGCAGACAUACUUAGGUCAGAGCAUGUCUAGGUAUCAAGUGAAAGACAGGAGGAGUGCCAGAACCCAGCAGGAAUGCAAACUACUUCCUAAGUGGCCAAAUGAUAGUCUGGUAUUUGAAACACAGGAAUUCAGGCUGGUUAUAGCUCAGUAUUUGUCUAGCAUUUGAGAAUCCCCAGCUUAAUCGACAGCACCAAAAAUACAUAAUGCAUGCAUGCAUACACACACAUAUACAAAUAAAAUUAAAAAUAAAAAAAAGUAAAUGGACUAAGGUAGUUCAAGUCAGGCAAUGUGAAUACACCUAUAAUGCUAGCUAUUGGAAGGCUGAAGCAGAAGAUCAAAUUCAAGGCUAGCCUGAGUUACAAAUUAAGACCCUGUUUCAAAAAAGCAAAUCAAAAGGCUGUCCUGGGCAACCCUUAGAAUGUGCCUCCUAACUACAAUCCUAGGUUAGUGGCCGCCUAACACACUCAGGCUAAAUGGCAGCUAAAGGGCCGGGGCUUCUAAGGCUAUCUUCAGUUUGGCGAUGAUCACGGUGUUGACUGUACUAAGAACAGGCAGAACUAGAACUAGAGUGGUCAGCCCCAGGCAGAGAGCACUGGAAUGCUACCUGCAGCGAGGUCAACCCUUGGAGCUAAGAACAGCAUGCUACAUGCAAGUAAGCAGCUCUCUUUCCCCUUCUCCUCAUCUUUUCUGUUUUUCUUUUAAGUUGGAGUAAAACCCAAUGCCUUACAAAUAAAUGCUCGGCAUGCCCUCUCUUGGGAAGAGCUCUAUGUCUUGGCCUGUCUUCUGCUUUUCUCAGAGCAUCUAGGUGCCGAUCUGUUGGAAAUACACAAAUGAUGGACAGCUCUAUAGACAUGCAAGGCAGCCGAUGGGAAUUUGGCAUACUGCUAGGGAGAAGCCAGUCUCUUAAUUUGGGUAACAGAUACAGAAUGAUCAUUUUGGCUUUGGAAAAAACCACUAAGCAAACUCCCUGAAGCAGUAGGCUGGAGAAAGACCAAAGUUAAAACCAGAACUGUCAAUUAUUAGAUAUGUCCAAAAGGGGAGACUCAAAUAAACAGAUGUUCACCUAAUUCAUUAAUUCUCUCUCUCCUCUCUCUGUCUCUCUCUUUCUGAGACAGAAAGGUCUCUCUGUUUCGGCUUAGAUAUCCUAGAGUUCAAUAUGAAAACCAGGGAAGCCUCAAAUGUACAGAGAUCCUAUCUCUACCCGGCUCCCGUGAUUUCUUACCAAUACUGGUUAUGCCAAGCAAGAAGCUAUGAGGGGCAAGAAGAUAGCUGACGCAAAGGAAGAGAGGGCAGGAAAGAUAUCAUAGAGGAAUCACGCCAUAGAAAAAUAGAACAAGGGCUGGGGAUUUAGCUCAGUGGUAGAGCGCUUGCCUAGGAAGCGCAAGGCCCUGGGUUCGGUCCCCAGCUCCGAAAAAAAGAACCAAAAAAAAAAAAAAAAAAUAGAACAAAAAUCACAAGCCAUAACACAGUGGAAGGAAGAGCUCACGGUUAGACUCCACUGUCUUACCUGUUGUCAAGCUGGCAGAUGUUGAAGGUGCUUCCCCACCAAGGGCCUGUGUGGCUCCCAGCUCACUCUCUGGGACUGGGCAAGGAAGAGACUGCACUGCUUGCCUUCUGUAUUCAGGACACUGUCUGCAUACAAUGUAUGGCUGACUGUGAGGAGAAGCAGCACAGAUGCAGUUACAAAGGAACAGGCUCCAGGCAGACACACAGACAUCAUCAUUGCAUCAUCACCUACCCCAGCUCCACUUGUUGGGAUUCUAUCCUUCAAGGCCUCUGCUCUACCUCGGCUCAUCUGCAGCACCACUUCAGCACGUGUGAGGAUGGCAGUGAACCCUACUUUUCUGCCCAGCUCCUACCACAGGGAUGACACUACCCAUAACUACCUGGAACAGGAGUCUGAAAGUGAGGACAGCACCUACCACACGACAGCUGCUCUGAGCUCAGCCACGUUCCUGCUCAAUCCCUCACACCCCAUGUUCAGCACACUCUACCCUGGGCCACUUAGUCCCUACUCAGUGCACACAGACUCAGACUCCAAGGCCAAGGAAACCCAGGCUCAUGAGAGAAAACUACACGGCAAGUACUGCUGAUUCUCUCAAUUCAUGUGUGUUCUUGUUGGAAUCAGAGCACAGAUGCAAUCCCAGCACUGUCAAGACUGAGGCAAGAGGGUCUUAGUGAGCUAGGAUUAAAGGUGUCAGUGGCUACACCCAACUUAGUAUGCCAGAUUGACCCGAACAUUCUCACAUGCUAGGCAAUCACUCUAUCACGCAACUACAGUUCUAGACCUUCUAAAAUAGUUUUGUUUUGAGACAAGAGUCUAAGCUUUUCAGGCUAGCUUUGAACUCACUCUAAGCCAGACAAGGUAAUUUUCUAUUUAUUUGUAAAAAAAAAAAAAAAAUCAUUCAGGGCCUUGGCCCAAAAUGAAGACCUGAAACCAAUGUGUCACCAAGUAAAAUUAGGUCUCAAAGAGCCAUCUCCUCUCAGCCUGGGUAUUAUGCUUCUCCUGUGAUACUACUCUAAGAAAUUAUAACACUAUCAUUUACAGCCAAGGACUCCCAAUCCCUAACUAUAAAAAUUACAUGUGAUGAGCUACAGAAAUGGCUCAGUGGUUAAGAGCACUGGCUGCUCUUCCAGAGGUCAUGAGUUCAAUUUCCAGCAACGACAUGGCAGCUCACAGCCAUCUGUAAUGGGAUCUGAUGUCCUCUUCUGGUGUGUCUGAGGACAGCUACAGUGUACUCAUAUACAUAAAAUAAAUAAAUUUUUAAAAAAAGAAUUACAUGUGCUUAUGGGAGUAAAACAAUACAUAUGACUUUUCUGCUUUGCCAGUGAAUCAGGACUCAUGAUGAAGAGCCUAAGAAAUGAAGGGUAUUGUUGGGGAGUUCACAACCCACUGAAGAGUCUUGCAAUGGUGGUGCAUGCCUUUAACUUCACUGCUCAGGGGCAGACGUAGGCACAUCUCUAUGAGUUAAGGACAGCUUGGUCUACAUAAAUAAGUCCAGGGCAGCCAGGGCUACAUACAGAGAGAGACUAAGCUAGGAGUGGUGGCACAGGCCUUUAAUCCCAGCACUCACGAGGCUGUGGAAGGUGGAUCCCUGUGAGAUCAACGCCAGACUGGUCUAGACAGUGAGUUCUAAGAUAGCAAAGGGUACAUAAAGAGACCUUGUCUCAAAAUUAGUUAAUUAAAAAGUUCAUCAAGGCUACCUGUGGUUUUUAACUUAUUCAUUGCUGCUCUGAGUCCAUUCAGUUCUGGUCAUACUCCAGUUUGAGAAAUAAGCUAAAAGCAUUAAGGAAACUGACUGACUGAAGUCCUAUAGCUGUACACCCCACAGUACAGUUAAGUACAGUGCUAAUGGACUUCUCAUCCCAGGCACAGAUCUAACCUGAUGUCUGAGGAUUCACUAUCAACAUCAGACAGCUCUAGCAGGUCCUCUGAACUCCCCUCUUCAUCAGAGAAAGACCUCCUGACUUUGGGUUGCAGCAUAUCUUGAGUGAUUUUAUUCCUUGCAUCCAUACUUCUCACAUCUUCUUCACUGCGACUCUUAUCUAGACAUAAAGGGCAUAGCAACAGUCACUGGCAAGGGACAGCAUUGAGGGUUCGCCUUUUACCACUGUCUAUUGUAAUGUUAUGUGCUGGACCCUCAGAUUUAGCGUCUGUACUUAGCCCCUAGGACCAAGUUAAUUCUGAUUGGUGAAUAAAGAUGCCGACAGCCAAUAGCUGGGCAGAAGAGACAUAGGUAGGGUUGAAGUUUCACGAACUUGGGAGAGAGAGGACCAUGAGGAGGAAAAGCAAAAAGAAGCCACCAUGCAUGAAGAACAACAUACAGGAGGGAGAUAGAGCGCUGCCUGGGCUAAGGCCAAGAGAACAGGGCCCAGAGGGCUGGCCAAUUAGAGUUAACAGCAGCCCAGAUGGAACACAGUAAAUAGUAAGUGAUAACUUGGGGUCAUCGAUAGAAAAGUAGAUUCUAACAGCAUGGAGGGUAGGCAGCGGCCUAGAUGUUAUGCUACAUAACGCUUAUUAAAAUAUAAAGGCUGUGUGUAUCCUUCGUCCGGGAACAUAAAUGGUCUAAGGUGGGGAAGAAGCCCUGCACCAGGUUUUUGUUCUUUUUUUUUUUUUUUUUUUUCGGAGCUGGGGACCGAACCCAGGGCCUUGCACUUCCUAGGCAAGCACUCUACCACUGAGCCAAAUCCCCAACCCCCCUGCACCAGGUUUUUAAUACUUCUUACUACAGGACAGGACUAGAGAGAUGUUCUAGAUGGCUCAGGGCAGAGCGUCAGCCCCCAGGUCCCUAGCAGAGAAAAGUUACUGGCGCUGACCUGGGUGCUGGAGAAGGUAUGCUUCCACAAGGUUGUUCAGGAUGUGGUUUUUGCAAAUCCGCUCCACUGGACAUCGGCAGGUAGGGCACAGAGAUGAACGCUCCAUCCAACCAGAGUAGCAAGCCGCACAAAAUGUGUGCAUACAAGGCUGCAAACUGGCAGAAUACGAAGGAAUAAAGAACACAUUUUCUGACAAAAUCUUCCAAGAUCUGACAGCUGCAGGCUGACCCAAACAGGAAUGCAAGCUAGAUUCCCAACCAUGGGCCAAUUGUGGAGAACGGUGCCAUCUAGCCUAAAAAUACUUAAAGCUCAGUGUUAGAAGAUACAAAAUAAAAAAUAGUAAUUAAAAAAAAUCAGAGCUAUAUGCCUAUUUUCAGGGAGAAUAAAUCAUAGAUCAAGUACCAAGUAUUUGAGUACUAAAAGUUGGGUAGGAUCUACCCCCUGAGUUUCCAAACAAAAACCAAGGGAAGUUUCUCCCAAAGAGAAUCCUGGGAACUUCAUUCUAUUGUUAAGUAUUAUGUCUUUACCCAGGAAAUGUUUAAAACCCAGUAUACUUCACAUGAUUCCCCUACAGAGGAAAGAUCAGGUUUGCUCUGUUAUUGCAGGGUUAUUCAUGUCCUGUUGUCAGUCAAAACCAAGAUUGAUCACAUCUCAUAGUUUCUCCUUGUUGACACAAGUAAAAUGGAAACCUGAACAGAUUUCAGGGCAAAGAAGCUCAAAGUCUGUUUUAUUUAUGGCCACUUCUUCACACUUGUCAAGGGAGCUGGUACUGCUGAAGCCACCCUAGGAUAUGAAGUGAAGCAGCACACCUCACACAGUCAUGCAGAAGGUCUUGACAGAUGAUACAGGUUAGUGUCUCCUCCAUCUUGUCUGGUUUCACAGAGGCAUCUUUGACAUCCUCACUUGAGGUUUGGGCAAUUCCACGCUGGUCUGCAACUGAUAACUGGAGGUUCAAGUCAAGCUCCCCAUCUAUAAGACAAAGGACAAGUCCCAACAGUCACAAUCAUUUAACGUGAAGACAGAAGAUCCUCACAUUCCUAUUGUCUACCAAUAGCAGAAGAAACAAAGCCACUUUUCUUGUUUUUCAGACAGGAUCUCACUGUGUAGCGCUGGCUGUCCAGGAACUCACUGUAUAGACCAGACUGCCCUAGAACUCAAGAGAUCUGGUUGCCUCAGCUUCCUGAGUGCUGGAAUUCAAGGCAUGUGCCACCAUGCCUAGCUAUAAAAACUUUUUUAAAGAAGGUCCCAAAUGAGUCAAUGUUCUUAUUUGCCUAAAUUCUGGUUUAAAAGAAGACUUGCUAAGCUGGAGAGAUGGCUCUGCGGUUAAGAGCACUGACUGCUCUUCCAGAGGUCCUGAGUUCAAUUCCCAGCAACCACAUGGUGGUUCACACCCAUCUGUGAAGGGAACCCAUGCCCUCUUCUGGUGUGUCUGAAGACAGCUACAGUGUACUUAUAUAUAAUAAAUAAAUAAAUCUUUAAAAAAAAAAAAGAGUUGCUGACCUAAAAGGGGGGUAAAACAUACACCUAGGAUACAUGCAUAAGACGUGAAGAUGACAAGUGGGAGGAGGACAGAUCAGUUGUAUAGUAUUUUUAUAAAUGUCACUUUUGUUUAAUCAAAUAAAAUAUAACCAAAAGUACUAAAAAAAAAAAA